GACGAACGCUGGCGGCGUGCUUAACACAUGCAAGUCGAACGGUAAGGCCCUUCGGGGUACACGAGUGGCGAACGGGUGAGUAACACGUGGGCGAUCUGCCCUGCACUUCGGGAUAAGCCUGGGAAACUGGGUCUAAUACCAGAUAGGACUCCUGGCUUCAUGGUUGGGGGUGGAAAGCUUUUGCGGUGUGGGAUGGGCCCGCGGCCUAUCAGCUUGUUGGUGGGGUAAUGGCCUACCAAGGCGACGACGGGUAGCCGGCCUGAGGGGGUGACCGGUCACACUGGGACUGAGAUACGGCCCAGACUCCUACGGGAGGCAGCAGUGGGGAAUAUUGCACAAUGGGCGCAAGCCUGAUGCAGCGACGCCGCGUGAGGGAUGACGGCCUUCGGGUUGUAAACCUCUUUCAGCAUCGACGAAGCGAAAGUGACGGUAGGUGCAGAAGAAGGACCGGCCAACUACGUGCCAGCCGCCGCAGUAA
rnacentral:rRNA from 1 species